rnacentral:tRNA from 1 species
UGCCCCAUGGUCCAGUUGGCACGGACACCCGGUUCUGGCCCGGGAGACCGAGGUUCGAGUCCUCGUGGGGCAG